rnacentral:rRNA from 1 species
AGAUUGAACGCUGGCGGCAUGCCUUACACAUGCAAGUCGAACGGCAGCACGGGAGCAAUCCUGGUGGCGAGUGGCGAACGGGUGAGUAAUACAUCGGAACGUGCCCAAUCGUGGGGGAUAACGCAGCGAAAGCUGUGCUAAUACCGCAUAAGAUCUACGGAUGAAAGCAGGGGAUCGCAAGACCUUGCGCGAAUGGAGCGGCCGAUGGCAGAUUAGGUAGUUGGUGAGGUAAAGGCUCACCAAGCCUUCGAUCUGUAGCUGGUCUGAGAGGACGACCAGCCACACGUGGACUGAGACACGGCCCAGACCUCUACGGGAGGCAGCAGGUGGGGAAUUUUGGACAGUGGACGAAAGCUGAUCCAGCCAGUCGCCGCGUCGCGACGGA